rnacentral:rRNA from 1 species
AGAGGGCGUGGCGGACGGCUGAGUAACACGUGGCUAACCUGCCCUUGGGAUCUGGAUAACCCCGGGAAACUGGGGCUAAUCCGGAGCGGGCAAGGGAAUCUGGAAUGAUCUCUUGCCUAAAAGCCUCUCGGCUGAUCCCGUCGGGAGGCGCCCAAGGAUGGGGCUGCGGCCCAUCAGGCUGUUGGGGGAGUAAAGGUCCCCCAAACCGAUAACGGGUAGGGGCCGUGGGAGCGGGAGCCCCCAGUUGGGCACCGAGACAAGGGCCCAGGCCCUACGGGGCGCACCAGGCGCGGAACGUCCCCAAUGCGGGAAACCGUGAGGGCGUUACCCCUAGUGCCCUCGCAAGAGGACUUUUCUCCACUCCAGAAAGGUGGAGGAAUAAGCGGGGGGCAAGACUGGUGUCAGCCGCCGCGGUAAUACCAGCCCCGCGAGUGAUCGGGACGUUUAUUGGGCUUAAAGCGCCCGUAGCCGGCCUGUAAAGUCACCGUUUAAAGACCCGGGCUCAACUCGGGGAACGGCGGUGAUACUUACAGGCUAGGGGGCGGGAGAGGUCGGAGGUACUCCCGGAGUAGGGGCGAAAUCCUCAGAUCCCGGGAGGACCACCAGUGGCGAAAGCGUCCGGCUAGAACGCGCCCGACGGUGAGGGGCGAAAGCCGGGGUAGCAAAUAGGAUUAGAUACCCUAGUAGUCCCGGCUGUAAACGAUGCAGGCUAGGUGUCGCGUAGGCUUUGUGCCUGCGCGGUGCCGCAGGAAAACUGGUAAGCCCGC